AUUGAACGCUAGCGGCAUGCUUAACACAUGCAAGUCGAACGGUAACAGGUCUAGCUUGCUAGAUGCUGACGAGUGGCGGACGGGUGAGUAAUGCGUAGGAAUCUACCUUAUAGUGGGGAAUAACCUGGGGAAACCCAGGCUAAUACCGCAUGAGCCCUAAGGGGUAAAGCAGGGGACUGAAAAGCCUUGUGCUAUGAGAUGAGCCUGCGUCGGAUUAGCUAGUUGGUAGGGUAAAGGCCUACCAAGGCGAUGAUCCGUAGCUGGUCUGAGAGGACGA
rnacentral:rRNA from 1 species